AUACUCUGGUUUCUCUUCAGAUUGUAUAAAUCUUUUACCUUUUACUAAACAUUUCCAUGGAGAGGAACAGUUAUAUGAGUCUUUACCCAACUUUUUGAGGGCUCAUGUAACACAUGAGAC